GACGAACGCUGGCGGCGUGCUUAACACAUGCAAGUCGAACGAAGUGGCGAACGGGUGAGUAACGCGUAAUCAACCUGCCCUUCAGAGGGGGACAACAGUUGGAAACGACUGCUAAUACCGCAUACUGAAGGAGUGGAUUGCGUCUGAUUAGCUAGUAGGUAAGGUAAUGGCUUACCUAGGCGACGAUCCCUAGCUGGUCUGAGAGGAUGAUCAGCCAAACUGGGACUGAGACACGGCCCAGACUCCUACGGGAGGCAGCAGUGGGGAAUAUUGCACAAUGGGCGCAAGCCUGAUGCAGCCAUGCCGCGUGUAUGAAGAAGGCCCUAGGGUUGUAAAGUACUUUCAGUCGGGACGCGGUACCGGAAUAGAAAGCCACGGCUAACUACGUGCCAGCAGCCGCGGUAAUAC
rnacentral:rRNA from 1 species